rnacentral:rRNA from 1 species
GACGAACGCUGGCGGCGUGCCUAACACAUGCAAGUCGAACGGAGAUUUCAGCAAUGGAAUCUUAGUGGUGAACGGGUGAGUAACGCGUAGACAACCUACCUUCGAGAUGGGGACAACACUGCGAAAGUGGUGCUAAUACCGAAUGUUGUAACGAACAUGCAUAUGCUUGUUACUAAAGAUGGCCUCUGUUUAUAAGCUAUCGCUAGAAGAUGGGUCUGCGUCUGAUUAGCUAGUUGGUGAGGUAAUGGCUCACCAAGGCGACGAUCAGUAGCCGGUCUGAGAGGAUGAACGGCCACGCUGGGACUGAGACACGGCCCAGACUCCUACGGGAGGCAGCAGUGGGGAAUCUUCCGCAAUGGACGAAAGUCUGACGGAGCAACGCCGCGUGAGUGAAGAAGGUUUUCGGAUCGUAAAACUCUGUUUUCAGGGACGAAUGUGCAGCUUGUAAAUAAUGAGUUGUAAUGACGGUACCUGAGUAGAAAGCCACGGCUAACUACGUGCCAGCCGCCGCCGUAAUAC